UAGCUAAGCUUASCUAAAACUGACGUUGGUAGCUAGCUACUGGAAGUUAGCUACAUGGGUCGUUUUCAAAAUGUGACUUUAGCCGCUAGAAAGCAAAAUAGGACGAUGAUGAUGCCCGAUACGUAUUGUGUUUAUUAUCAGCAUUGAUCGAUUGUAUGACGCUAUUUAGAACACGCCCUAUCCAUGUGUUCCUGAAUGUAGCACUGCACCCGGAUGUAGUGGGUGACUAAGCUAGCCCAGUUUGGUAUCUUGAGCAUCGAACGUUAUAUGUUGACGAUUAUGUGAUGUAUAGCUAGAUAGAGAACUUGGAUGCAGAUUGCAAGCGUGUCUCAUUUUAACCUGUGCGCUUGGGUCAUUUUGGUGAGAAAGCCUAGGAAUCAGCGCUACUGCGGUAGGAACCGGAGGCUGGAGAGACCCUGAACUGACACCCCAGCCCUGUCCCAAGCCGUCGCUGAUCUUCCACUCCUCCAUGUCCCAGGUUAAACCCUUGAAGCUGGAGAGACCCUGAAGUCCACCCUGUGACACCCCUCGGUCCCAUUCUCCACUCACCCCCUCUGACGACCUACCAUGCCCCUGAUCGUGGAUGCUGUGUGGGCCGUGUGGAGCAUCGGGGCGGGGGUCUAUGACUACUUCCACACCAGUGCCAUGGAGGAACGCAUCGGCAACCUGGAGAGCGUCCUCACCAUCCACCAGUGUGUCAUAACAGCCCUGUCYGCAGGCCUCGUCCUCCUCAUGACCUACAUACUGUGGAGAAAACACUGAAGCCAUGGUCGUAUUCAGUCAGUGAGAUGGCCCCGGGGGAAAGUUUCCCCUAGGUACAGAUCUUGGAUCAUUUCCCCCUCCCUCAAUCCUAUCUGUAACCAGUAGUGGGGAAAAUACUAAACUGACCCAAGAUCAGCAUCUAGGGGCAACUUCACUCUAUUCCAGCGGAGAUGGGAGAUGAGACGGUCCUAGAUACUCCAGACCUAAGGACUGCAUUACGGCUAGCGUCGGCUACUCACCAGACUAACAGCCAGUCCCAAAUCACUCCCUAACCCUCCCCCAUUGUCUUAUGUCAUAUCAUGCGAUGACUGUCAGUUUAGGGACGGGGCAUCGUGUAGGAGUGACGCCACUUAGCAUAAGAUAAUGACCUUGGCCCCUAACCCUUGGGUGUUGGCAGAUCUGAAGGGUCUUGAUMGGUAUAAGCAGUUAGGUAUAAGCAGUGUAACGCUGGAUCAUCACAUUACUACUACUACUACUGGAGCUCAACAGACAGUCUGCAACCCCUCCCUAGUCCUUCCCCUCGRCCCUGACCAUCAAAGAACGGUCUGGAUAGGUAUGACAACUGGGUAKGUAUAGGAUUCUGUUUCRUCAAAGCACUACUAUUGGAAGACGAGCUCAAGAGACCAUGAGGAGUUGCUUGUGGAAGCUUCCUGGUGGAAAGUAGUCCUGGUAUACAGUACAAAGGCUCUAUUAGAGCUUGUUGGAGUAGUCACCCCUYCAAGUCUCGUUYGUCACUCUGCUGUUACUUGGAACGGGWUUGAGAGGARGUCUGGGAGCUGAGGGUAGCUGGAGAGGGGCUCUUCAAUCUGAGAGCUUGAGUGMCGUGAUGACUGUAGCCUGGUCCCAGAUCUGUUUGUGCUAUCGUGUCAACUCCUUGCCAUGCCAAACAUGGAAUUGACAUGAUAGCACAAACAGAUCUGGGACCAGUCUAUCAUGACUGGCUGUGAUCAGAAAACACUGUAUUUUGCUACUGUGUGGAUACUGACGUCUAGCCUGGUCCCUGAUCUGUUUGUGCUGUCUUGCCAACAAUGACCGUAGGAGUGGGCAAGACCAUACAAACAGAUGAUCUAGGACCAGGCUAACUCCUGGCCACUUGUUUAAUUUAAAACUAUCAUCCAUUGAAUGUGAUUGAUUCAUGUUGGUACUUUAUAUUGCCGAAAGGGAUUUGUGAAACGUGGCUUCCGUCCAUGUGACUGUAGAAUAAGCCUACAUAAUAAUGACACUGUUGGGACUAAACAUUAUACACYGCUUUCUCGCACACAGAUUAAGCCUAGUCCUAGAAUAAAAAGCCUGGUCUAUGGAGAAUCUCUAUUAAAAGUGAUUUAUUAUUUUUUUAGCCCAGGACUAGACUUAAACUGUCUGAAACCUUCCAUGUAUGAGAAAGAUAACACCUUUUUAAGUUACUGUCUAGGUUAAACAUUUUUACACGUUUCCAUGUCGAUGACGCCUUUAACGGUUUUCUCUGUAUUUGUACGUCAUAACAUCUCCUUUUUAAAAUCAUGCUUUUAUCAUUGUUGGAUMUGUUACCCGUCUACCUGGUUGACUAUUAUCAUGUCUGUUGGCAUUUGUUGUCGACUCAAGUGCUACUGUGUGUAUUUUGCUGAGUCACUACCUGGUUGUUGGUUUCUAUGUGAACAAAAGUUAUUAAUGUCAGGUUAAUAAAUAAUGUGAUUAACUCUG